rnacentral:rRNA from 1 species
UGGAGCUGAAGUCAGUCGAAGAUACCAGCUGGCUGCAACUGUUUAUUAAAAACACAGCACUGUGCAAACACGAAAGUGGACGUAUACGGUGUGACGCCUGCCCGGUGCCGGAAGGUUAAUUGAUGGGGUCAGCGCAAGCGAAGCUCCUGAUCGAAGCCCCGGUAAACGGCGGCCGUAACUAUAACGGUCCUAAGGUAGCGAAAUUCCUUGUCGGGUAAGUUCCGACCUGCACGAAUGGCGUAAUGAUGGCCAGGCUGUCUCCACCCGGGACUCAGUGAAAUUGAACUCGCUGUGAAGAUGCAGUGUACCCGCGGCAAGACGGAAAGACCCCGUGAACCUUUACUAUAGCUUGACACUGAACACUGGUCCUUGAUGUGCAGGAUAGGUGGGAGGCUUUGAAGUGUGGACGCCAGUCUGCAUGGAGCCAUCCUUGAAAUACCACCCUUUAAUGGCUGGUGUUCUAACGUGGGCCCGUGAACCGGGUUGCGGACAGUGUCUGGUGGGUAGUUUGACUGGGGCGGUCUCCUCCUAAAGAGUAACGGAGGAGCACGAAGGUUGGCUAAUCCUGGUCGGACAUCAGGAGGUUAGUGCAAUGGCAUAAGCCAGCUUGACUGCGAGCGUGACGGCGCGAGCAGGUGCGAAAGCAGGUCAUAGUGAUCCGGUGGUUCUGAAUGGAAGGGCCAUCGCUCAACGGAUAAAAGGUACUCCGGGGAUAACAGGCUGAUACCGCCCAAGAGUUCAUAUCGACGGCGGUGUUUGGCACCUCGAUGUCGGCUCAUCACAUCCUGGGGCUGAAGUAGGUCCCAAGGGUAUGGCUGUUCGCCAUUUAAAGUGGUACGCGAGCUGGGUUUAGAACGUCGUGAGACAGUUCGGUCCCUAUCUGCCGUGGGCGCUGGAAGAUUGAGGGGGGCUGCUCCUAGUACGAGAGGACCGGAGUGGACGCAUCACUGGUGUUCGGGUUGUCAUGCCAAUGGCACUGCCCGGUAGCUACAUGCGGAAGAGAUAAGUGCUGAAAGCAUCUAAGCACGAAACUUGCCCCGAGAUGAAUCUUCCCUGAGCCUUUAAGGCUCCUGAAGGAACGUUGAAGACGACGACGUUGAUAGGCCGGGUGUGUAAGCGCAGCGAUGCGUUGAGCUAACCGGUACUAAUGAACCGUGAGGCUUAACCUU